AAGACCCUAGGCCCAGACUGCAUCAGGAGGAAUUCAGCCACAUUUACUCAGUUGUUUCGUCCCAAAACGAAAUGGUUCACUCGCCUGAGGUCCAAACUCCGCCGCGCCGGAAAUGGACUCCGGCGGCGGCGGAGGACCAAACACAACUCCUCUCACACCAAAACGUUCAUCCUUGUCCCCUCUUCCACAAUAUUCUAUCCCCUUCCCCUAAUUUCUAGGCUACAGUUCAAAUCGAGCGAAGAACAUAUGAAUCCUAACAAACAAAAAUCAGAAAUUAAACACUGCAGAUAUGGAAUCAAAGCCUAAAGUAAUAGGGCUUUGAUUCCUCGAAUCAUGUCCUACAUGAUGGCAACUGUAUCAGCGUGAAAUGGAUGGAGGAAAAGCGUAGCUUAGCUACGAGGCAGAAAAGGGCCCCAGUUAUGUAGAAGUUGGAGAAGAUGAAGAUGAAACAGAAAAGCUCCAGUUGAGAAUAUUUGUUAUCCAUUCCAAUCUUGUGAGAAACAUCUUAUGCAAGUGAGGCAGUGGAAGCAAUGGUUGGCAUGAGUUAGCAUUUGGAAGUUUUGGCAAGUGCCAAUCAAGAAGAGCUUAAAGGCCUUGGAAUAUUUUUUGACGGAAGAAAAGUAGAAGUAGGGUUUAUAUUUGGUUAGUGGCUGACUUUAGUCACCUGGUUGACCAAAGUCAACCACUAACCAAAUCUAAACCCUAACCAAAUGGUUUGAACUUGAAUGCUUGAAUGAAUUUUGACUGAAAAUGAGUUUGAUCUUGUAUGAAUGCUACAUCAUGAACAAAAAAAUAAUCACUAGCAAUCACCAGGUAAGGCUUUAUAUGAA